AUUGAACGCUGGCGGCAGGCUUAACACAUGCAAGUCGAACGAGUGGCGGACGGGUGAGUAAUGCUUGGGAAUCUAGCUUAUGGAGGGGGAUAACUACGGGAAACUGUAGCUAAUACCGCGUACCAUAGGAUGAGCCCCAGUGGGAUUAGGUAGUUGGUGCGGUAAAGGCUAACCAAGCCGACGAUCUCUAGCGGGUCUGAGAGGAUGACCAGCAAAACUGGGACUGAGAAACGGCCCAGACUCAUACGGGAGGCAGCAGGGGGGAAGAUUGCGCAAUGGGGGCAACCUGACGCAGCCAUGCCGCGUGAAUGAAGAAGGCCUUCGGGUUGUAAAGUUCGUUCGGUAGCGAGGCGGUAACUACAGAAGAAGCACCGGCUAACUCCGUGCCAGCAGCCGCGGUAAUUC
rnacentral:rRNA from 1 species